AGCCCUGGACACCAGGAUAGAGCCAUGAUGAAUCACCCCCCUUGGCUGUCCCACCCCUCCCGAGACCCCUCAACAUUCAGGCUGGUAAAAUGAGGCUGCAGUGAAGAGUCCUGGGCUCUGAGGAUGGGAGGCUCAUUGUUGCUAGGAGCAGAAAAGCUGGCCCACUGUUGACACAUGGUCUCCAGCUCCUCUUCCACCCUCAAAGUUUAAUUCCUCUGAACCUGCCCCUUCCCCACCCUUCUAGGAGAGCAACCCUGAAUUGAUCACAGCCAUUUUGACAUUCUUCUUUUCUUUAUUUUUCUAAUGUGAGAUUCUGAAACCUCUUCUUACCACCCCACACAAUUGGGUUAGCCCCAGAUCCUGCCUUAGGGCACAAAGAUUUGCCUCUCAGAAUUCCUUCCUUGCCUUUUUUAAAGGCCUGACCAGGGUCUUUGUGGUUGGAAUGGGGGUGUGUUAGGAGUGGCGAUGGGAGGCUGGAGUGCGAAAGGUGGGUAGGCUUAGACACAGGGUGCCCGAACUCAGGUUUAGGAGGUUCAUCAUGGCAGUCAUCACGAAUGAAUCUCUACUGACUUUUGAUUAAAAUUGUGACACGAUUGUGCCUAAGCUACAAGCAAGGGCAAUAAACUGGGGGCCCACUGGGGCAGAUGUCUUAAUGGAGAGAGCAGAGAUGAAGAGAAAAUCCCUCAGCAGGUUGAGAGUGACUUCUGCAGGCUCAGGGCACAAAGCGAGAACUCUUUGCAGAAUUUUGAUCAUCCUUGCUACUUAAGACCCCCAAAAUGGUGGAACCCAGGGGUACAGAGAGCUAAGGAAGGAAAACUCCAUACUUGAGAUGCCUUCUUGAGCCAGCAGGUGGCAGUAGUGGUGGUGGAGGCAACAGUUAGAUGAACUGACUGGUCCUGACCACACAGUGUCAAAAUAGAGAAUGGAGAGCAGGUCUGCUGUUUACCAAAGAAGCCUGAAACAUGGCCCACGUGUCCAAUCCUUGCUGUUGUCUGGAGGAGGAGCCGGGAGGAGACCGUUGAUGAACUGCUCUCAGAUUGUUGGUCUAUGAAGGAGGUUAAUACAUGUCAGUUUGACAUUGUAUCAUUGAAUCAGAAUUGAACAUCAGAAAGAGUAAAAUUCCCAGGCCUUUGUUACCCUAGCCUGGGUACAAGCUCAAGAUGAUGCAGAAGGAGGAGCAAAGCAUGGGAUCCAAGAAAGUUAAGUUCCAGCUCAGGUCGAAGAGAAUCAUGUCUGUGAUCUAUGUCUUUGGUUUCUUCAUCUACAGCUGUCAUCUUGUGGGCUGGAGCAUGGUGGCCAGGCAGUGUGCAAGGGACUCUGGUGUCCAUGCAGCCCUCAUAGACCUGCGGAGGUCAAUGCAUAUCGACCAUCCUGUGGCAGUUUAUCCAGUCUUUUGUUCUCUAGCUGCAUUUGUUUAUCUUAUUGGAUGUAAGAAAAGCUACAUUCUUUUCUUCUCUUCACCAGCAAGACUUCCUGGGCUGGUCAGCGG